UGAGAAGUUUCUCCUUGUCUGCUCAUUAAAAGAAAAAUGACCUGUGAAAUGGAACCUUGUUAAACUUAACAUCCUUUCUGAAAAUGGUAAUCCCUCUGUAGGUGUUAGUCAUUUUGAUUUUAACUAAAUGGUACAAUCUCAUGACAAAAAAAGUGUCCACUCACCCGGUGAGGAUAAAAGGUCCAGUUUUUCCCCCUGAAAAGUUCUUGUAGCUAAAAAGAAUGGGAGAGUGUAUUUAAAGGAAGCAGAGUUGGUCUCAGGCAGGAUUACAGAGCGGGUGGAGUGGACAUUCUCUAUAAAUCUUUCCUGUUUUCGAUUUGCCUUCCCAGCAGCCUCAUCCACCUAAUAUCGCCGGUUUCCAAGCCAGUCCACCUCAACCAAAUCAGAUACCGUUGCCUACCAGAGUUGGUCUUGGAAAAGAGUGGCAUUUUGAUCGAAAGUGGCAGCGUAAAGGGAGACCCAUGGAGAAUCUUUCCUGCACUCCUUUAGUUUACACCUUUCUGAUAGCCGUUUUGUUGUGAAGAGAGAGAGGGGAGGAUGUUACACACGGCACAUGAUAGGACAUACGUGCGGACAAACAUUGCUGCUGGAACACACUACGCUGAAAUUCGUACAACAUGAAAUACUGUCAUCCCUCACAUUGUAUUGAGCAGCUGGGAAUUUAUACGAAACUGGGAAGGAACAGGGGAGGCACAGAAGGUUGUCAAGGUGACAGGCUCAUGAGAGACAGAAGGCAGCAUCUUCGUUGUAAGGAAGUAGUUGAGAGCCAAAGCUUAUUUUGCUUUAAAUGGAAGAACCAAUUCAAUACUAAAAUCAACCUGCAUUUAUGGAGUGCUUUUAAGUGAAAGGGAUUGUCGUGGCGGGUCAUGUAAGAGGCAAGACCAAGAUCACUGGAGUUAAGUGCUUACCCAUAAAGCCUGGCUCAAUCCUUACUAUCUGUGGGAAUUUGGGCAAGUUAUCAAAUCUCUUUUUGCCUAUUCUUCAUUUAUAAAAUGGAGCUAAUAAGAGAAUCUAUUUCUUGAGGUUAUGGUGAAGAUUAAAUGAGAUAACACUUUGAAAGUGCUUAGCACCCCAUCUGAUACAUAGGUGACCAGAAUGCCAU
rnacentral:lncRNA from 12 species